rnacentral:rRNA from 1 species
UACGAAGGGGGCGAGCGUUGUUCGGAUUUACUGGGCGUAAAGGGCGCGUAGGCGGCCCUCCUUGUCGCGUGUGAAAGCCCCGGGCUCAACCUGGGAAUUGCGUGCGAAACGGGGGGGCUUGAGGACGAGAGAGGUGAGUGGAAUUCCCAGUGUAGAGGUGAAAUUCGUAGAUAUUGGGAAGAACACCGGUGGCGAAGGCGGCUCACUGGCUCGUAUCUGACGCUCAGGCGCGACAGCGUGGGGAUCAAACAGG